CGCCCUGGGCCCCGGGCCUCCGCGGCUGCUCCCGGCCGGCUCUCGAGGCUCCGGGCGAGGGACCCGGGCCACUUGGAGGGACGCCGGUGCGCGUGGCGGGCCAGGUCACCGCACCUACGAUCCAUCCUGUCCUGCCCCUGGGCGCUGUAAGCCUCGGGGGUGGCCUGGUUGUCACCGUGGGCCAAGGAGAAGCUGGGACUAGUGUCAGCACGCUGGUGGACCCGCAGCAGGCCCGGAGGAACGCACAGUCCUGGCGGGAAAAGGGCCGGUGGUCCCCUGGCCCACUCAUUUUCUACCCAGCACGUAGAGGCAGCAGGCUCCCAUUCCCAUCAGGCUUGGAUGAAAGCUCUUCUCCCUGAUGUCUCAGAACACACCUGAUUCUGGUGCAGCAGCAGCCAGCUGGGACUUUAGGCGCAGAGCUGAGACACGGCAGCGAAAUGACGACUUCUACCACAUCAGAGGCUUAUAAAACCAAGGACCUGCUGGAAGCUGAGGAAAGACUGAGUUAUUUUGGUGUUUCCGGUUAGAGUGGACUUUCUUCUCCCUUGUGGCACUUCUAAGACUGCUACAUCUGUGGAUUAGAGGCAGCUGCAUCUGAGAAUGAGCAGAAAGUGGAAGAGGGUGGACAUUUUGGGCUCAGUAACUGAGAUGCCAAUUCCUUCCUUUAGUCCAUUAUCAUCACAGAGGGAAGUAUGGCGGUACACAGAAGACAUGGUGCUGGAGAGGGAGCUGAGCCUUCUCCAUCCAGAUCAGCAGGCAGCAGGAAGAGAAAGACGCUGGGCCUGGCUGGAGCAUCCGAAACCUCAAACCCUGCCCUCGUGACACACUUCCUCCAACAAGGCCACACUUACUCUAACAAGGGCACACUUCUUAAUAGUGACACUCCCUAUGAGGGCCAUUUUCAUUUAAACCACCACACACACAUAAAUAUAUUUUAAAAUUUCUGUUCCUUCUACUACAAAAGUUGGUAUGAUAGGGUCAGUGAGAUGGCUCAGCAGAUAAGAGCCCUUACCACCAAGCCUGACAAACCAGACCUACGUGAUAGGAGACAAAUGACCCCCACAAAUUGUCCUCUGACUUCCAUGUGUAUGUGAGCACAUGAACACACACAAACACAUGCGUGCAGGAGAAAUAAAUGUACAAAGUGUUAGUAUUGUUUAUUCCACCUCUAAUUUCUUCAUAUUGUCUAGUAGUCUUUUCAUACCCAUAUAUACAGAAUAUCUUUGCUAUUUUUGUUCCCCUUUUAAUAGCUGUGUAAUAUUCCACAUUUGGAUUCAUGUGUCAUAUGCCCUCAUUGGUGGUGACUUGGGUUUUUAUAAUUAUUUUCUCUAGCAGUGUUGCAGUGGAUUAUGUUGUAAAAACACAUCAUUUCAGACAUACACAAUUGACCAUCAACAAAAAGGUAUAUUUCAUAGUCCAUAGAGGUCUUACCAUUUUGUACUCCAUCAGAAAAGUAUGCAGAAGGGAAUCUAACUCUUUAAUUGUCUUAUUACUGAACUACUUAAAAAUAAACACAGGUAUCCUGGCACUCCAAACAAUGUAUGGCUUUUAAAAACAGGAAACUUGAGAUUUUAACAACCUUAUUGGCAUGUAAUUCAUAUAGUCAUAAGUUAUUUCGGGUAUACAGUGUGGUGGUGUUGCUGUUUAAUGGUAUGGAACUGUCUCCACUAUCAAAUUCUGAAACUGUCGUCAUCUGUCCCUUCCCUCAGGCCCCUCUCAGGUUAGUCUCUGACCCCUUACCCACUGCUACUGUGCUGGCUCAUUUGUGCCAGCUUAACCCAAACUAAAGUCAUCUGAGAGGAGGAACCUCAACUGAGAAAAUGUCUCCAUAAGACCAUGCUGUAAGGCAUUUUCUUAACUAGUGAUUGAUGGGGAGGGCCCAGCCCAUUGUGAGUGUUGCCAUCCCCGGGCUGGUGGUCCUGAGUUCUAGAAGAGCAAGCCAGAAAGCAGCUCUCUCCUGGCCUCUGCAUCAGUUCCUGCCUUCAGGAUCCUGGCCUGCUUGAGUUCCUGUCCUGACUUCCUUCAAUAGUGAGCACUGCUGUGGAAGUGUAAGCUGAAUAAACCCUUUCCUCCCCAACUUGCCUUUUGGUCAUGGUGUUUUGUUGCAGCAAUAGAAACUCAAGUUUCUAUUUACUUACCUUACCUUACCGUAGGGCACUUCUUUACCCUACUGCUGUGGGGUUUUCCCUUCCUGGAUAGCUCAUGAAAAUGCAGUAAUACAGUAUGUGGUGCUUGGUAUCUGGCUGCUGUUAAUUGACAUUUUUUAUUUCAUGCACGUCAAGAACUCUUAGAACUAAUGUAUGUAGCGAAGCUCUACUUUACAAUGAGCAAUACCCCAUCACAUGGCUGUUACUACAUUGUCUUUAUCGAAGGACAUUUCCUUCUGUUCUAGUUAAUGUUAUCAUGCUUAAAAAAGAAUUAUACUUCUUGAAAACCUCUUGCCUAGAUGGUCUUCAGAUUUCCCUAGGACUCAAACUAGAACCACACAUCACAGUUCUGUGUCCUUAUUCUCUUAUAAUCUAGAGUCUUAGAUUAUCUAGACUCAUGGCAGUCUCAGUAGGAGACCAUGCUGGUUGUUUCAUAGUCUCACUGUUUGUAAGAUUACUUCCACGUGGUGUGCAUUAGCUUGCUCUGUCAUCUGAGCUCUUAUGACACUGGAUCAGACUACUGUUAGAUAGCUUUGGCUAGGAUGCAUCAGAAAUAACACUAGACACUUUACCUUCUCUCAUAAGGAGACAGGCGCUCUCCUGUCACAAGGUUGCCAUAGUUGGUCAGGUUAGGGUGACCCUCAUCUUCACCCUCAUUGCCAGCAUGUGCUUUGUAGUAGUUCAGUACUUGUACAAAAGGAGAAUUUUGUGGGUUCUUUACACCAUAUGCCCACUCCCUCAGCCAACCUUCCAUCCGAUGAACAAAAUGCUGCUUCCUAUCAGCACUUGAAUCAGUUUUGUGAGAUGUUGCAAAAUGAUAGUUUUGUAAUUCUGUGAUUUCAAAUAUGUCUAACUUUAGUUUCUCUAUAAAUAAGGCCACCUCCUUAUCAACUAGAAUUGUUUCCUUAAACUAUGCAUCAUUCUUUAAAGCAGAAAAACAUACUUCCUGCCCCUACACCAGGAAAUAAUUUUCAAAAUAAGACUUGGUGAACCACUAAGUUGUUGAAAUGUACUACAUCGCUGAUGGUCAGUUACAGAUUAAAAAGAUAAUUUACAAUGUGA